ACCACAUGGUUAGGACAUUGUACAAUAUUUUCAUUAAACCUCUUUCAAACUUCAUAUAGAGUUUCCCCAUUGAGUUGAUGAAAAUUAAUGAUUUUAUCACAUAAU